ACGGCUCAGUACCUUAAAAACAACCUGCCCUCGGGGCGAGGAUAAUCUCGCUUAACAGAGGCUAAUACUCGAUAGAUCAAGAUUCCUGGAAUGGGUUUUGGUUACAAAUGAGGCAGCGGCAUCUCUGCUGCAAUUCGCCCGAGGAUGGGACUGCGGCCGAUCAGGCUGUUGGUGGGGUAAAGGCCCACCAAACCAGUAACCGGUACGGGCUUUGAGAGAAGGAGCCCGGAGAUGGACACUGAGACAAGGGUCCAGGUCCUACGGGGCGCAGCAGGCGCGAAACCUUCGCAAUGCGCGCAAGCGCGACGAGGUUAUUCCGAGUGAUUUCCGCUGAGGAAAUCUUUUCUCAGAUCUAAAACGUCUGGGGAAUAAGGGGAGGGCAAGUCUGGUGUCAGCCGCCGCGGUAAUACCAGCUCCUCGAGUGGUCAGGGCGUUUAUUGGGCCUAAAGCAUCCGUAGCCUGCUCGGUAGGUCUCCUGUUAAAUCCAACGACCCAAUCGUUGGUCUGCAGGAGAUACCGCCGGGCUAGGAGGCGGGAGAGGCGGACGGUACUCCGAGGGUAGGGGUAAAAUCCUUUGAUCCCCGGAAGA
rnacentral:rRNA from 1 species